ACGAACGCUGGCGGCGUGCUUAACACAUGCAAGUCGAACGGAAAGGCCCUGCUUGCAGGGUACUCGAGUGGCGAACGUGUGAGUAACACGUGGGUGAUCUGCCCUGCACUUCGGGAUAAGCCUGGGAAACUGGGUCUAAUACCGGAUAGGAGCCAUUUUUAGUGUGAUGGUUGGAAAGUUUUUUCGGUGUAGGAUGAGCUCGCGGCCUAUCAGCUUGUUGGUGGGGUAAUGGCCUACCAAGGCGGCGACGGGUAGCCGGCCUGAGAGGGUGGACGGCCACAUUGGGACUGAGAUACGGCCCAGACUCCUACGGGAGGCAUCAGUGGGGAAUAUUGCACAAUGGGCGCAAGCCUGAUGCAGCGACGCCGCGUGGGGGAUGACGGCCUUCGGGUUGUAAACUCCUUUCGCUAGGGACGAAGCUUUUUGUGACGGUACCUAGAUAAGAAGCACCGGCUAACUACGUG
rnacentral:rRNA from 1 species